rnacentral:pre_miRNA from 1 species
GGGCAAAAGUUGGGCAAGACUUUGGCAAACCUUGGAUUCAGGAUGCACCAAAGUUAAACACAAGUUUCACCCAACUCUUGCCA